GAUGAACGCUGGCGGCGUGCCUAAUACAUGCGAGUCGAGCGAACGGACGAGAAGCUUGCUUUUCUGAUGUUAGCGGCGGACGAGUGAGUAACACGUGGAUAACCUACCUAUAAGACUGGGAUAACUUCGGGAAACCGGAGCUAAUACCGGAUAAUAUUUUGAACCGCAUGGUUCAAAAGUGAAAGACGGUCUUGCUGUCACUUAUAGAUGGAUCCGCGCUGCAUUAGCUAGUUGGUAAGGUAACGGCUUACCAAGGCAACGAUGCAUAGCCGACCUGAGAGGGUGAUCGGCCACACUGGAACUGAGACACGGUCCAGACUCCUACGGGAGGCAGCAGUAGGGAAUCUUCCGCAAUGGGCGAAAGCCUGACGGAGCAACGCCGCGUGAGUGAUGAAGGUCUUCGGAUCGUAAAACUCUGUUAUUAGGGAAGAACAUAUGUGUAAGUAACUGUGCACAUCUUGACGGUACCUAAUCAGAAAGCCACGGCUAACUACGUG
rnacentral:rRNA from 1 species